rnacentral:misc_RNA from 1 species
CCAAUAGCGUAUAUUAAAGUUGUUGCAGUUAAAAAGCUCGUAGUUGAAUUUCGGGGUUAGUAGGUUGGUCAUGCCUCUGGUAUGUACUGGUCUCACUGAUUCCUCCUUCCUGAUGAACCGUAAUGCCAUUAAUUUGGUGUUGCGGGGAAUUUGGACUGUUACUUUGAAAAAAUUAGAGUGUUUAAAGCAAGCUAACGCUUGAAUACAUUAGCAUGGAAUAAUGAAAUAGGACGUUCGAUCCUAUUUUGUUGGUUUCUAGGAUUGACGUAAUGAUUAAUAGGGAUAGUUGGGGGCAUUAGUAUUCAAUUGUCAGAGGUGAAAUUCUUGGAUUUAUUGAAGACUAACUACUGCGAAAGCAUUUGCCAAGGAUGUUUUCAUUAAUCAGUGAACGAAAGUUAGAGGUUCGAAGGCGAUCAGAUACCGCCCUAGUUCUAACCAUAAACGAUGCCAACCAGCGAUUAGCCUGAGUUCCUUAAAUGACUCGGCUAGCAGCUUCCG